GAUGAAGAACGUAGUGAAAUGCGAUAAGUAAUGUGAAUUGCAGAAUUCAGUGAAUCAUCGAAUCUUUGAACGCACAUUGCGCCCGCCAGUAUUCUGGCGGGCAUGCCUGUUCGAGCGUCAUUACAACCCUCAGGCCCCCGGGCCUGGCGUUGGGGAUCGGCGGAGCCCCCCGUGGGCACACGCCGUCCCCCAAAUGCAGUGGCGGUCCCGCCGCAGCUUCCAUCGCGUAGUAGCUAACACCUCGCGACUGGAGAGCGGCGCGGCCACGCCGUAAAACACCCAACUCUUCAGAAGUUGACCUCGAAUCAGGUAGGAAUACCCGCUGAACUUAAGCAUAUCAAUAAGCGGAGGA
rnacentral:misc_RNA from 1 species